rnacentral:lncRNA from 1 species
AUCUAGGUAUCACCAAGUCUAUUUCAGUCACUUUACAGGGAAGGAGGCUCUAAGCCAGGGAAAAGAUGCAACUUGUCCAAGUUGCAUAACUAGUUGGAAUCAGAAACCAGCUUUUCCUUUAUGUCUGAAGUGACAGUCAUAAUUUUUUAAAUGGUUUUGCGUCCAUUCCCAGAGUAAAAGCAUACGUUGACAGUCUCAGCUGGGAAACAAAAUUUCCAUUAUUUGCAUUCUUACCUUUUUCAGGUGUGGCCGAAGAUGGUGGUGGUGCUCCAGAAUUAGAAGUGAGAACAAUGUCUGUCAUGGAGCUGAGAAGCUGGAAUAGCUGGGGUAUUUUAUAACAACAUACAGCUCAUGUGUGGCCCACAUAUAGGUACAUAGAAUACUUCAAGCUUUCACAAAACUUUUUGCUUUCUCUCAGUGGACUCGAUAUCAAUGAUUUUUUUUUUUGAGCUCUGAUAACAUUGCACUAAAUUCUGAAUUUACUGUAGAUCCCCCUAGAAAUUAAUAAGUUAAUCAGGGAAAUGAACUUCACCUUCUCAUCAAAUUCUAAAGUGUUUUAUUGCCUAUACUUGGCAUAGAUUUUUAAAAUUAAAAAACAGUAUAAUUGGCUCUCUUUCUGGUGUAUACUUCUAUGAGUUUUAAUACUGUAUAGAUUGUGUAACUACCACCACAUAAGGAUACAGAACAUUUUCUUCUCCCUAAUGUACUCCCUGAGAGAGAUUUCUACAGCCUCUCCCAAGCCAAGAUAAUGGCUUAGAUUUGCCUUAGACUUGUGCAUUCUACCUUCACAAAGAUUAUGCUCCUCAGUGCCUACGACAUCCCCUCGUCCAUACCAGUUGUUGCUGCUACCCUGUCCAUGAAUGGCUAAGUUACCUAGUCUCCCUGUGACUUCAUCCACCUAUUUAGAUAUACCCUAAUAGCUUUUUAAAUUUGUUUCCCCACUAAACAGUAAGCUCAGUCAGGGUAAGAGCUAUAUCUGUCUUGGGUAUAGCUAAACUUUAGACCAUCAAUGUCUAUAUAAUAAAGGAACAAAUAAAUGAAUUCUAUUUUAGUGGAAACUAUUCAAAGUCCUCUCUGUAUUUACCUGACGAUUACCAUGUGUAUCAGUUAGCUAUUGCUGGGUAACAAACCACCCAAAAGCUCAAUGACUUAAAGAAAGGGUCAAAAAGCUUUUCUGUGAGGGCCAGAAAGUAAACAUUUCAGGCUUCGCAGGUCAGUCUCAAUUGCAACUACUUGUUGCAACUACAGUUAUAGGUAACUCUGCCAUUAUAGCAUGAGAGAAGCCAUAGUCAAUAUGUAAACAAAUG